AACGAACGCUGGCGGCAGGCCUAACACAUGCAAGUCGAACGCUCCGCAAGGGGAGUGGCGCACGGGUGAGUAACACGUGGGAACCUACCUUCUGGUACGGAACAACCAAGGGAAACUUUGGCUAAGACCGUAUACGACCUCCGGGUGAAAGAUUGAUCGCCGGAAGAGGGGCCCGCGUCCGAUUAGGUAGUUGGUGAGGUAACGGCUCACCAGCCUUCGAUCGGUAGCUGGUCUGAGAGGAUGACCA
rnacentral:rRNA from 1 species